rnacentral:rRNA from 1 species
GAUGAACGCUAGCGGCAGGCUUAAUACAUGCAAGUCGUGGGGCAGCAUGAAUGUAGCAAUACAUUUGAUGGCGACCGGCAAACGGGUGCGGAACACGUACACAACCUUCCUAUAAGUGGGGAAUAGCCCAGAGAAAUUUGGAUUAAUACCCCGUAACAUAACGAUGUGGCAUCACAUUGUUAUUAUAGCUUCGGCGCUUAUUGAUGGGUGUGCGGCUGAUUAGAUAGUUGGCGGGGUAACGGCCCACCAAGUCUACGAUCAGUAGCUGAUGUGUGAGCAGGAUCAGCCACCCGGGCACUGGGACACGGGCCCGACUCCUACGGGAGGCAGCAGUGAGGAAUAUUGGUCAAUGGACGCAAGUCUGAACCAGCCAUGCCGCGUGAAGGAUUAAGGUCCUCUGGAUUGUAAACUUCUUUUAUCUGGGACGAAAAAAGGCUUUUCUAAGUCACUUGACGGUACCAGAUGAAUAAGCACCGGCUAACUACGUGCCAGCCGCCGCCGUAAUAC